UACGUGAGGGUGCAGGCGUUAAUCGGAAUUAGCUAGGGCGUGAAACGUGCGCUAGGCGGUCUGCUAAGAGACGUAUGUGAAAUCCCCGGGCUUACCCUUGGGAAUGCGUUCUAACUGGCAGGCUUGAGUGUGGGCAGAGGGGGGUGGAAUUCCACGUGUAGCAGUGAAAAUGCGUAGAGAUGUGGAGGAACACCGAUGGCGAAGGCAGCCCCCUCGGGCGUAACACUGACGCUCAUGCACGAAAGCGUGGGAGCAACAGG
rnacentral:rRNA from 1 species